rnacentral:rRNA from 1 species
AUUGAACGCUGGCGGCAGGCCUAACACAUGCAAGUCGAGCGGAUGAGAAGAGCUUGCUCUUCGAUUCAGCGGCGGACGGGUGAGUAAUGCCUAGGAAUCUGCCUGGUAGUGGGGGACAACGUUUCGAAAGGAACGCUAAUACCGCAUACGUCCUACGGGAGAAAGCAGGGGACCUUCGGGCCUUGCGCUAUCAGAUGAGCCUAGGUCGGAUUAGCUAGUUGGUGAGGUAAUGGCUCACCAAGGCGACGAUCCGCAACUGGUCUGAGAGGAUGAUCAGUCACACUGGAACUGAGACACGGUCCAGACUCCUACGGGAGGCAGCAGUGGGGAAUAUUGGACAAUGGGCGAAAGCCUGAUCCAGCCAUGCCGCGUGUGUGAAGAAGGUCUUCGGAUUGUAAAGCACUUUAAAUUGGGAGGAAGGGCAGUAAGUUAAUACCUUGCUGUUUUGACGUUACCGACAGAAUAGCACCGGCUAACUCUGUGCCAGCCGCCGCGGUAAAAC